GUGGGUAAUCUGCCCUUCGAAGGGGAAUAACUCGCCGAAAGGCGAGCUAAUUCCGCAUAACAUUCCGAGAAACUUGGUUUUUGGAUUCAAAGGCGUAAGUCGUCGGAGGAGGAGCCCGCGCACGAUUAGCUAGUUGGUAGGGUAACGGCCUACCAAGGCUAUGAUCGUUAGCUGGUCUGAGAGGAUGGC
rnacentral:rRNA from 1 species